rnacentral:rRNA from 1 species
AUGUCAUUCUAUGAUUUCUAUUGGAUUUGUUUAGUCCCUUUUGGGGGCAAUACAGAAGAACCACAUCGUGAGGAUGUGGAGGGAUUUAUUGACACUAUCACCAUAGGGGAAACAAGGAAGGUUUCCGAUGCACGAAUCACUAGCAUACACUUUCCUGUUUUACAUUAUUUUGCAUUAUUUGCUAGUCGUUGUUUAAUUGGUCGCGGAAACUGUGGAAACCUGAGUAUCCCUGAUAUUAUCAUUUUGCACCAUGGCUUAUACGGUGAUAACUCUUUUACUAUGGGCGGCAUUAUUGCUAAAUGGUUAAGUAUGAACCGUACUAAGGGUCCCGUCUUUGGAGGCAUUUGUGCUACACGCCUAGGUGCACAUUUUAACAUACCUAUUAGGCAUUAUGAGAAGGAAGAAAAGGUGCCGCCUCGUGUUUAUUUAGAUUAUAAAAGUAUGGUGGCACAUGAUUUUAUUGUUAAGAAUAGGGAAGGAGAGCUUAAAUAUCAAUUGCUCUUUAAUAAACAUCAUUCUGAGACUAUUACCUUGCCUGCUCCUUCUUUGUUUAAUUUGACCGUAGGCACAUACCUUGUUCCGUUGGCGGCUAUUCAUGCUUACCAGAAUCCUGCACCAGCCCCGGAACCGGAACCACAAGAGGAGCCUCCACGACAGUCUGUUUAUUCUUGGGAUCCGGAGGUGGCUGUCAGCCAAUGGCAGUCAGGGUCUUCUUCAUCACAGUACGACCCCAACAACUAUUAUUAUGGAUAUCAGCCAGGCCAGCCGUGGCCAUAG